rnacentral:sRNA from 1 species
UUAAUGCAAACUGAACACAACAGAUCAUAUAUAUCACUAAUCUACAUAUACAUUUUUGUAGCCAUUUUGUGAAAUAAAUCCUGGAGUUAGAAUUUAUUUACAAUGGCUGCCACUGGAUUUAAAUUAUUUGAUUUUUUUUAAUUAAUGGUUUGAAUCUUUAUACGACAAUUAAUUGUGUAACAAACCAAAAAGAUUCUAAAUAUAUGGCAAUCCCAUAUGUCACGCAAAACACAAUAAUUUAACUUCUCCUUAUCUCACCUACAAUAUUCACUAAAUCUUAAAACAACCAAAAUUUGAACUAUUU